rnacentral:misc_RNA from 1 species
GGGUUGACCGUUGAAUCUCACGGCAACCC